rnacentral:rRNA from 1 species
AGCAGUAGCCGCGGUAAUGCGUAGGGUGCAAGCGUUAAUCGGAAUUACUGGGCGUAAAGCGUGCGCAGGCGGUUAUAUAAGUCAGAUGUGAAAUCCCCGGGCUCAACCUGGGAACUGCAUUUGAGACUGUAUGGCUAGAGUGUGUCAGAGGGGGGUAGAACUCCACGUGUAGCAGUGAAAUGCGUAGAUAUGUGGAGGAAUACCGAUGGCGAAGGCAGCCCCCUGGGAUAACACUGACGCUCAUGCACGAAAGCGUGGGGAGCAAACAGGAUUAGAUACCCGAGUAGUCCCUGUCUCUUAUAU